rnacentral:lncRNA from 1 species
UUGUUUGCUGAUUGCAGGGUCAAAUGGGGUAACUUAGCUGUCUGAACCUCUGAUAUGCUGGGCAUUUGCAGGACCCAGGGAAACCUAGAUUUAAGUAGCUGAGUGACACCACUGGCAGAUAACCCUGGCAAGAGGAAGCAGAAAUAAUGGACGUGCAGAAAAGCCUCUCAUCAUUAACAUUCAAAGCAGAACUGAAGGGAAGGAAACAGUAUGCAACUUUGAUCCACUUUUUUAUUUUUUGAAAAAAUGACAACAGAUAAAAAGCAACUAACAACAAAAAGACAAGUGUAUGGGAAGGAAUAAUUAGGACUCAAGCCAGUCUUCAUACAGUAGUAGCUUCAGAAAAGGUACAUGGUCUGAUGUUUUCUCUGAAGUCCAAACUGUGGCAUCUCAAAGAUAAACUCACACAACUUUUAGACAUCUUUCUGUCCCCAGGUGCUUUGAGGGAGAGACUGACUUGUAAAUAUUUUGAUUUUGGUUUAUCUCCUCUUGUCUCUGCACUUAAUGUUCAGUUCUGGGAACUGAAAUGUAUUCCAGCUCAGCCAUUCUUCCUGGGAAGCAGCUAGCUUCUACUGCCUGGGAAAGUCCAUAUGUGAUUCUGGUGUUUACAUAAACAGCUAGUAACUUAUCACCUGUCCUCACAUAUGAGAGUAAGAAGGGCUGCUCAGUACGAUACUUAUGGUAAAAGCAGAAUUUUACUCCAUAAUUUCUGUAUGUAAUUUUGAAUUACUGCAAAAUGGAAUAAUGAAAACUGUAGGGCUAGGUUCAUUCUGUGCUCUACUAACAGAAUCCAUUAAAUGGAUAUUGCAGGUACUCUUAAGGUUACAUGUACUACGCUUCAGCCAAAACAGAGCAGAAGUGAAACUCCAGCCUGGACAAGACAGUUUUGCUUCCUCUGCGUGAUGGACACAAAUGCUUUCAGAUCUGCUGAUUUGGUAGAAGUGAACUUGGAUCAUCCAGGACCAUGUUAUUGGGGCUCCACCUUACGGCAGAUGAGAGCAGAAUGGCAGUGGCAUUAUAACUUCUCCAGGUUAGAAACUAGGGAGAAGAAAUUUGAUAUGAUACGAUAUUUUGCUUUGGGCCAAAAAAGAAUGCAUUCUCCAAACAGAGAAUGCAUUUUUUCAUAGUGCCUCAAGAUCUAUGCAAAAUAAGAGUAUUUCUAGUAGUUCUAUUUUUACAGCGUCUUACAUAAUAAUGAUUUAUUUGGCAUGAACAUAACUGUGCAGACAAUUAAAAAACAUCUCUUUUUCAAGUAAUUUGUAAUCUCUG